GGAAUGGAGACGAAGAAGAGGCGGGUCGGGCGCAGUUGUGUCCGACGCUGUGUGCAUUCGGAUCGAUAAUCGCGAGAACACGGGGCGCGCGGCGCCCGCUCGCAUUAAAAACCGCAGUGGCCACUGGGGCAGCAGUCGUUGUUGGACUGCAAAGGGUGGUGAAAUCGAAUAGACUAUUGCGAAAUAUGC
ensembl:ncRNA C36E8.10 ncRNA